AUGAACUCUAUAUUUAUAAACAUCUCCUGGGCAGAGUUUUAUGGGCUAUCCUCAGCAGUCAGCACACUAACAGAUUGAAAAUAUAACGGUGCUUCAAACUAUUGGCAAAGGUUACUGUUGAAUGCUGCAAUGCCUUCAUAGCAGACUUUGCUUUUUAUUUAAAUAUUUAUGUGGAAUGGUCACUUCUUUGAAAAGUACGCC